CGGAACGGGUGAGUAACGCGUGAAUAACCUGACUCAAAGAGGGGGGAGUAACAACGGGAAACUGUUGCUAAUACCGCAUGAGACCACAACACCGCAUGAUGAAGGGGUCAAAGAUUUAUCGCUUUGAGAGGGGUUCGCGUCCCAUUAGGUAGUUGGAGGGGUAACGGCCCACCAAGCCAACGAUGGGUAGCCGAGCUGAGAGGCUGAUCGGCCACACUGGAACUGAGACACGGUCCAG
rnacentral:rRNA from 1 species